AGAACGAACGCUGGCGGCAUGCCUAACACAUGCAAGUCGAACGAGACCUUCGGGUCUAGUGGCGCACGGGUGCGUAACGCGUGGGAAUCUGCCCUUGGGUUCGGAAUAACAGUUGGAAACGACUGCUAAUACCGGAUGAUGACGUAAGUCCAAAAGAUUUAUCGCCCAGGGAUGAGCCCGCGUAGGAUUAGCUAGUUGGUGAGGUAAAGGCUCACCAAGGCGACGAUCCUUAGCUGGUCUGAGAGGAUGAUCAGCCACACUGGGACUGAGACACGGCCCAGACUCCUACGGGAGCAGCAGUGGGAACUAUUGGACAAUGGGCGAAAGCCUGAUCCAGCAAGUGCCGCGUGAGUGAUGAAGGUCCUUCGGUUGUAAAG
rnacentral:rRNA from 1 species